rnacentral:tRNA from 2 species
UGCCGGAUGGUGUAACGGCAGCACGAGUGACUCUGAAUCACUUAGUCCAGGUUCGAAUCCUGGUCCGGCAGCCA